rnacentral:sRNA from 1 species
GCCAGGCGCUGUGGCCCAUGCCUGUCAUCCCAGCGGCUUGGGAGGCUGAGGCAGGAGGAUGGCAAGGUGGAGGCCAGCCUCUGCCACUU